UGUUAAUGACAGUGGAGGAACAUUAGCCGGUUUGAUUCCGGUGGCUUCUCAAAGCUGAUCAACAACUUUUUGU
rnacentral:sRNA from 1 species